rnacentral:rRNA from 1 species
CCCUUAGAUGUUCUGGGCCGCACCCGCGCUACACUGGCAGGUUCAUCGAGCUUCAUGCCCUGAUCUGAGAAGAACGGGAAAUCUUUGAACACCUGCCGUGCUUGGGAUAGAUGUUUGCAAUUAUUCAUCUUCAACGAGGAUUGCCUUGUAAGCGCACGUCAUCAGCGUGCAUUGAAUACGACCCUGUAUUCUGUACACACCGCCCGUCGCUCCUACCGAUUGAAGUUUUCGGUGAAUUUACUGGAGAUCCCUUUUGAAGGUGGUUCGCCACUGGAAGAAGUAUUCAAAAGUAAAUGAAUCGAAUGCUUUAGAGGAAGGAGAAGCCGUAACA